UACAGAGGGUGCGAACGUUGCUCGGAAUUACUGGGCGUAAAGCGCACGUAGGCGGAUCAUUUAGUCAGGGGUGAAAUCCCGGGGACUCAACCUCGGAACUGCCUUUGAUACUGAUGGUCUCGAGUCCGAUAGAGGUGAGUGGAAUUCUAGUGUAGAGGUGAAAUUCGUAGAUAUUAGGAAGAACACCAGUGGCGAAGGCGGCUCACUGGGAGUCGGUACUGGACGCUGAGGUGCGAAAGCGUGGGGAGCGAACAGG
rnacentral:rRNA from 1 species